rnacentral:tRNA from 1 species
GCGCCCUUAGCUCAGUGGUAGAGCGUUCGAUUCACAUUCGAAAGGUCGUAAGUUCGAUCCUUACAGGGCGCACCA